rnacentral:lncRNA from 1 species
GCUGCCAUGGUGUGGGGGAUGAGGUUGAGGUUCCUGUGGUAGUGGGAACCAAAGUGGAGCCAAGACAGAGUCCAUGGCAGGCAUCAUCUGCCUGAAUUUCAGGUGCCACGAUCUCUGGGACUGCAAUAAUGUCUGUGGCAAUUGGAGACAGAGCUGAGAGAACAAAAGGAGUCUGUGGUCUCAGCUUUAAACUACUUCCAGAGCUUCUGCCAGACCCUAUUGCAAUAUGAAAGCAACAAAAUGCAUGAGAGCAUAUUGUAUAUCAUCAGGAGGUAUAUUGUCUUGUCAUCCAAAGCUUUGCCAGUGCAUGUCCAUAUUUAACUAAGGAAUGUGAAGAUGUCCUCUUAGUGCUCGGCAGAAUAGUACUGAGUUGUUUUUAAUUAUUGCUUUCAGUGUCUGAAAAUUAACUGCCAUGUGAAGUCUGGGUGCUGUUCGUUCAGUCUCUACAGUAGUCACAUGAUGAAUGACUGCAAUCUGAGAAUAAUAACCUACAAAUAUUGGUUCAUGUUUCCAAGGAAAGGGUGUGGAAAAAAAAAGUUUUUCUUAAAUUCUGUCUCAACAGUCAGUAGAAACAGAGGGAAGACUAUCCUGCAGGUUUUUUGGUUGGUGAAACACACUUUGAGAAAUGCCUAGUUUAGAGGAAAGAGCACUACUGUCUUUAAAAUCCUUGUCAAUAAAUUGAUUACACAGGAAAGCCCUUCCUUUCUGCAAAUGCAAAUAAAACAUUUCUUGAAAUCUAACUGUAUCCCCCAGGCUACUGCUUUAUUAAAACUAUGUGCCAAAUCUAAAAAAUUUCAAAUGUGUCAUUUUUUCAACAACCCUUUGUAACAUAAUUAUGUUCCAUGCCUCUUAAUGAAUAUGCUAUUAAGGAGAUUGCAAGGGUCAGCUGCAAGAAAGACAUCAUCGACGUCAUAUGUAACCUGGAAUCUAAGGGUUGGUAUUACAGAGGCUUUGUUCUUUGUGCUACUUACCUUACCCAGCAGCUCCAAACUGCAAGUGUGUAUUGUUCUUAGGAACUGACUCUUUUGGAGUACUCUGCAAAGAGAAUCAACCCUUCUUUAGAUACUUUUUUGGACUGCUGUUGUCAGUUUGUAGCUAAAACACAGAAGCAUUUAUUUUGCCUCAGUAGAUUUAUACAAACUGAAGCACAAGAUGCUGGUCUUGGGAUGUCGAUUUUAUUGUGUCUCAGAGCUCUUCAACUCAUACCAAGUAAGAAUGACAAAAGGAAGGCAUUAGUUAGUAAAACAAUUGCCUGUUUUUUUACCAGAAUAUUUAGAUGUUAGAUGAUCCUGUCAGCUUACAGAAUUCUUAAUUAAAUCCAGUUUGGAUGGAUUUAAUAUGUUGGAAAAACUGUAUUUGCAACCAGAUAAAAACCUGAGGAAGAAAAUAGCUAAGAAAUGUCUAUUAAUGCCACAGAUGUUUUAGAGUUACUUCUUAGUGAUGAUGAUGAACGUAAGGAAGAUAAACAAUAUAAAAGAUAUUUGACAAAUCAGCAUAAGAAAAGAAAAAAGAAAGAAGGAAAGAAACAAAAAACCCAUUGGUUCUUCUGAAAGAUAUCAGAGUUGGCUUUAGUACCUUGCACAGUUGGAGGCUAACCUUUUUUUCUGUGAGCUUCAAUGAUGCAAAUAUGAAUUUGUGACCAGAGAGGCUUUGUUAAUGCAUUAUCUUUAAAAGCAUAAUUAUUAAAAAGAAACAAAUCUUCAGUUCACCAUGCCAAUGUCCUAUUUGCCAAAGGCCCAUUUAUUGCAAAAGUAUACCUUAGAAUUUAUUAUAAAAAUAAACAUCAAAAUGAAAUUUUCAGAGCAACUCACAAACUAUUAGAUAAUAAAAAAUGUGAUCACAACAUGCUUAGUAGACAGAGUAAAAGGUAAUUGUUCUGCAGAACUUGGAGGUGAUUGCACCAGUAAAUCUGAGAAAUCACACUGCCAUUCUAAAAAGGAUAAAUGCAAUUAAGAAA